ACAGUGUGAAAAACUCCGGUGGUAUGAGAUGGACCCGCGUUGGAUUAGGCAGUUGGCGGGGUAACGGCCCACCAAACCGACGAUCAGUAGCCGGCCUGAGAGGGUGAACGGCCACAUUGGGACUGAGACACGGCCCAAACUCCUACGGGAGGCAGCAGUGGGGAAUAUUGCACAAUGGGGGAAACCCUGAUGCAGCGACGCCGCGUGAGUGAAGAAGUAAUUCGUUAUGUAAAGCUCUAUCAGCAGGGAAGAAAAUGACGGUACCUGACUAAGAAGCCCCGGCUAACUACGUGCCAGCAGCCGCGGUAAUACGUAGGGGGCAAGCGUUAUCCGGAUUUACUGGGUGUAAAGGGAGCGUAGACGGCCGUGCAAGUCUGAUGUGAAAGGCUGGGGCUCAACCCCGGGACUGCAUUGGAAACUGUAUGGCUGGAGUGCCGGAGAGGUAAGCGGAAUUCCUAGUGUAGCGGUGAAAUGCGUAGAUAUUAGGAGGAACACCAGUGGCGAAGGCGGCUUACUGGACGGUAACUGACGUUGAGGCUCGAAAGCGUGGGGAGCAAACAGGAUUAGAUACCCUGGUAGUCCACGCCGUAAACGA
rnacentral:rRNA from 1 species